UACGUAGGGUGCGAGCGUUGCCCGGAUUUAUUGGGCGUAAAGGGCGCGUAGGCGGCCACGCACGUCCGUUGUGAAAUCGCCCGGCUCAACUGGGCGGGGUCAUCGGAUACGGUGUGGCUCGAGCAAGCUAGGGGGCAAUGGAAUUCCCGGUGUAGUGGUGGAAUGCGUAGAUAUCGGGAGGAACACCAGUGGCGAAGGCGGUUGCCUGGAGCUUUGCUGACGCUGAUGCGCGAAAGCGUGGGGAGCGAUCCGG
rnacentral:rRNA from 1 species